rnacentral:lncRNA from 10 species
CUAAAAGCUGUGAAGCUAACUGGCAAUCACCAAAAAGAUCAAGAACUGCAGAGGAGAAGAAAGCCAUCUGCCACUAUUAAAGAUACAACCAACACCUGGAGUUCCAGUGACUCCUGACAUCCCGAUUUCCUUGGAAGACCUGGCCACCUCCUAACUGAUUGAUGACCCCUGUGAGAAACAAAAAAACAAGAAUAUGAGCGAGAGGGGAAAAUUCUUUGCCAGGUUGUCACUGCAGAGUUAACAGAAGAGUUUUCUUCUUGGAGUGGCUUGGGUGAGAGUGGUAGAGGUGGACAAGAUGAUCCGACAUUGGAUCCUGGAUAUAUUUUGAAGCCUCUCUUCAUUUUAAUGAAAAUUCACCAACAAACACUGACAACUUAACCAAAUAGGCCAAGUACCCUGGGCAAGCUCCUAUCUCAAGGCCGGAAAGCAGUGGAGCUCAGACAAGAAGUAGCCUGGACAGCUUUCCUACCUUCCGGCUUGCCUACUCCCCUCUCCCGGGAAAUGCACUCAGACAAGCAACUACAUCUGUAGGAGCAAUCACAUGGUUAACCCAGUGACAGCUGCUGUAAUACAUUCCCAACUCAUCAAAGUUCUAACAAACAGUUUGUCUGCAAGAAUUCAAGAAGAAGCAUGUAUGUUCUUUAGGCAAAGGACUUUUUUAUAAAAGCAAGAAAAGAAAUGAUUCCUCAAGUAGAUCCUAAUGAAAUAAGACGUCUCUCUGUGUAUAUGGGUUUGUUUUUUUUUUUUUUUAAAGAAAAAGAAGGUUCUCUCUAGUCUAAAUAAACCUUGA